UACGUAGGGGGCGAGCGUUGUCCGGAUUUAUUGGGCGUAAAGAGCUCGUAGGCGGUUCGGUAAGUCGGAUGUGAAAUCUCCACGCUCAACGUGGAGGGGCCAUUCGAUACUGCCGUGACUCGAGUCCGGUAGGGGAGUGUGGAAUUCCCGGUGUAGCGGUGAAAUGCGUAGAGAUCGGCAGGAACACCCAGGGGGAAACCAGUCGACUGGGCAGCACCUGACGCUGAGGUGCGAGAGCGUGGGGAGCGAACCGG
rnacentral:rRNA from 1 species